rnacentral:rRNA from 1 species
UACGUAGGGUGCAAGCGUUGUCCGGAAUUAUUGGGCGUAAAGAGCUCGUAGGCGGUCUGUCGCGUCUGCUGUGAAAACUCAGGGCUUAACCCUGAGCUUGCAGUGGGUACGGGCAGACUAGAGUGCGGUAGGGGAGACUGGAAUUCCUGGUGUAGCGGUGAAAUGCGCAGAUAUCAGGAAGAACACCCGUGGCUAAGGCGGCUCUCUAGUACGUGACUGACGCUGAGACGCGAAAGCGUGGGGAGCGAACAGGAUUAGACUACCGUGUAG